AUUGAACGCUGGCGGCAGGCCUAACACAUGCAAGUCGAGCGGAUGAAGGGAGCUUGCUCCUGGAUUCAGCGGCGGACGGGUGAGUAAUGCCUAGGAAUCUGCCUGGUAGUGGGGGAUAACGUCCGGAAACGGGCGCUAAUACCGCAUACGUCCUGAGGGAGAAAGUGGGGGACCUUCGGACCUCACGCUAUCAGAUGAGCCAAGGUCGGAUUAGCUAGUUGGUGGGGUAAAGGCCUACCAAGGCGACGAUCCGUAACUGGUCUGAGAGGAUGAUCAGUCACCCUGGACUGGAGACACGGUCCAGACCCCUAGGGGAGGCAGGAGGGGGGAAUUUUGGACAAGGGGCGAAAGCCUGUUCCAGCCAUGCCGCGGGUGUGAAGAAGGUCUUCGGAUUGUAAAGCACUUUAAGUUGGGAGGAAGGGCAGUAAGUUAAUACCUGGCUGUUUUGACGUUACCAACAGAAUAAGCACGGGCUACCUUCGU
rnacentral:rRNA from 1 species